CUUGAUUCCUGAAGUGGAAACUGCCUAUAAAAUUGGAGAAUGAGAAUGAGCUUGGAGCCACAGGCAUGAUCUAGAAACAGGGCUAUCUAUGAUCCAUGUCUGUAUUUCUCUGCCGUCAACUUGAAUGCCAGGACAUCUUGCAGGAAAAGCUUGCCCCGUUUUCCGUAGAGCUGAAUGCACACCUGAAAAAGUGUCCACAAAAAGUUAGAGCAGCUUCAUGUCCCAUGGCUACUCCUAUGCAAAGGAGGUGAGACCACAGAACUGAAUGGCGGUCUGCUUGCCUGGCACAGCAAGCCAAACACUAACAUUAGGAUGGCAGCGAGAGGAAGUCAAGCAUUUAUUUGCAAGCACCAAGCAAGGAAAAUUGGGUGAUUCAUGCCCAAGACCCCACCUGCCAGCGGCUUACAGGAUGAAAAACAUGUGACAACAGCCUAAGCCUAAAGACAAAAGCAGGG
rnacentral:lncRNA from 10 species